CAGCAGCCGCGGGAAUACGGAGGGUGCAAGCGUUAAUCGGAAUUACUGGGCGUAAAGGGUGCGUAGGCGGUUGUUUAAGUCUGUUGUGAAAUCCCCGGGCUCAACCUGGGAAUUGCAAUGGAAACUGGACGGCUAGAGUGUGUCAGAGGAUGGUGGAAUUCCCGGCGUAGCGGUGAAAUGCGUAGAGAUCGGGAGGAACAUCAGUGGCGAAGGCGGCCAUCUGGGACAACACUGACGCUGAAGCACGAAAGCGUGGGGAGCAAACAGGAUUAGAUACCCCGGUAGUCCCUGUCUCUUAUAA
rnacentral:rRNA from 1 species